rnacentral:sRNA from 1 species
AUUCUGCCCAAGCGGGGAAGGAUGAGAAGCUUCGACCAAGGUUCGACUUGAGCGCCAGCGAGAGAGCGUUGCCGCAGGCAACGACCCGAAGGGCGAAGCGCG